rnacentral:rRNA from 1 species
UCGCCCGCCGCGCGCGGCGGGCGGGGCGGGGGCACGGGGGGCCUACGGGAGGCAGCAGUAGGGAAUCUUGCGCAAUGGGCGAAAGCCUGACGCAGCCAUGCCGCGUGAAUGAUGAAGGUCUUAGGAUUGUAAAAUUCUUUCACCGGGGAAGAUAAUGACGGUACCCGGAGAAGAAGCCCCGGCUAACUUCGUGCCAGCAGCCGCGGUAAUA